CCACCCCAGCCGGCAGCAGCAACCCACUCGGGUCCCCUUCCACACUGUGGAAGAUUUGUUCUUUCACUCUUCACAAUAAAUCUUGCUGCUGCUCACUCUUUGGGUCCGUGCCACCUUUAAGAGCUGUAACACUCACUGUGAAGGUCUGCAGCUUCAUUCUUGAAGUCAGCAAGACCACGAACCCAGACACAUCUUGGGGGCUCGUCUGAGAUAUUGCCAUGUGUUAUGGGAAGAUAUAGUGAGAAGGUGGCCAUCUGCAAGGCAGGAAGAGAACCCUCACUGGAACUGGACCAUGCUGACACGUUGAUCUUGAACUUCUAGCCUUCAGCACUGUGAGAAAUACAAGAACUGAUUAAUACAUGAGGCUAACUCUGCACGUUUGCUCUAAGCCAGGGUGUAAGUUCGUUGAGGCCCAGGAGGCUGGUACAUGGUGCAAUACAUGCUAGUUGAACUACAUUGACUUGACUUGGUUUGGUUUCAUUUAGCUUUAUGAAGCCUGCCACUUUGCACACUCCUAUGGUAUUGCUAUACUUUUAACCCUUGUGGCAGCUUUUUAAAAUUGAAUUUACAAGGAUGAAGUGAUGUAUUUAAAAAGUGGAAGAAGAAUAAGAACAUUUUAAAAGUUUAAGUUCCAUGAGAACUACUCCG
rnacentral:lncRNA from 10 species